rnacentral:rRNA from 1 species
CUGGGCUAGACAACGGCGGACCGUCCUAGAAAUAGGAUUUUCCCUUCGGGGACUGCCGGUUCAGGUGCUGCAUGGCUGUCGUCAGCUCGUGCCGUGAGGUGUUGGGUUAAGUCCCGCAACGAGCGCAACCCUCGUCCUUAGUUGCCACCAUUCAGUUGGGCACUCUAGGGAGACUGCCGGCGUUAAGCCGGAGGAAGGUGGGGACGACGUCAAGUCAUCAUGGCCCUUAUGUCCAGGGCCACACACGUGCUACAAUGGACGGUACAAAGGGUCGCAAACCCGCGAGGGGGAGCCAAUCCCAAAAAGCCGUUCUCAGUUCGGAUUGGAGUCUGCAACUCGACUCCAUGAAGUUGGGAUCGCUAGUAAUCGCGGAUCAGCACGCCGCGGUGAAUACGUUCCC